rnacentral:rRNA from 1 species
UCGAACGGGAAUAGGAUGAAACCUAGUGAUUCCUAUUCUAGUGGCGGACGGGUGAGUAACGCGUGGGUAACCUGCCUUGCACUGGAGGGAUAACACUUAGAAAUAGGUGCUAAUACCGCAUAAGCGCACAGAACCGCAUGGUUCGGUGUGAAAAACUCCGGUGGUGUAAGAUGGACCCGCGUCUGAUUAGCUGGUUGGUGAGGUAACGGCUCACCAAGGCGACGAUCAGUAGCCGGCCUGAGAGGGUGAACGGCCACAUUGGGACUGAGACACGGCCCAAACUCCUACGGGAGGCAGCAGUGGGGAAUAUUGCACAAUGGGGGAAACCCUGAUGCAGCAACGCCGCGUGAGUGAAGAAGUCAUUCGUGAUGUAAAGCUCUAUCAGCAGGGAAGAAAAUGACGGUACCUGACUAAGAAGCCCCGGCUAACUACGUGCCAGCAGCCGCGGUAAUACGUAGGGGGCAAGCGUUAUCCGGAUUUACUGGGUGUAAAGGGAGCGUAGACGGCGACGCAAGUCUGAAGUGAAAUGCCAGUGCUCAACACUGGAACUGCUUUGGAAACUGUGUAGCUAGAGUGCAGGAGAGGUAAGUGGAAUUCCUAGUGUAGCGGUGAAAUGCGUAGAUAUUAGGAAGAACACCAGUGGCGAAGGCGGCUUACUGGACUGUAACUGACGUUGAGGCUCGAAGGCGUGG